rnacentral:rRNA from 1 species
ACAGCAGCAGCCGCGGUAAUACAGAGGGUGCGAGCGUUAAUCGGAUUUACUGGGCGUAAAGCGUGCGUAGGCGGCUUUUUAAGUCGGAUGUGAAAUCCCUGAGCUUAACUUAGGAAUUGCAUUCGAUACUGGGAAGCUAGAGUAUGGGAGAGGAUGGUAGAAUUCCAGGUGUAGCGGUGAAAUGCGUAGAGAUCUGGAGGAAUACCGAUGGCGAAGGCAGCCAUCUGGCCUAAUACUGACGCUGAGGUACGAAAGCAUGGGGAGCAAACAGGAUUAGAGACCCGUGUAGUCCCUGUCUCUUAUAC